rnacentral:rRNA from 1 species
UACGUAGGGAGCAAGCGUUGUUCGGAUUUACUGGGCGUAAAGGGCGCGUAGGCGGCAAAUUAAGUCAGCUGUGAAAUCUCCGAGCUUAACUCGGAACGGUCAGCUGAUACUGAUCUGCUAGAGUGCGGAAGGGGCAAUCGGAAUUCUUGGUGUAGCGGUGAAAUGCGUAGAUAUCGUAAGGAAGACCAGUGGCGAAGGCGGGUCUCUGGACAGUUCCUGACGCUGAGGCACGAAGGCCAGGGGAGCAAACGGG